UAACGAGCGUGUAAAUUUUUGUCUUGCAUUAAAAAAAUUGUCUCGACUACUGGGCGACAGCCAUCUAACUGUACCCAGCACCUGGUGUCCUCAACCUCGAAGACAAGUCAGUACAGCGUAUUGACUCGUCCAGGUGCAAUGUUGCGGCUAGCGCUCCUGAUGCUGUGUUGUGCGGAUUUGGCUUGGCCCAACGCAAUACUCAAUUGUGAAUGCUGGGACGGAUAUAAGGCCGAACAUAAUAAAAAUGGUUCCCAGUGUGUGGGAGUCAAUUUAUUCCACAUAAUGCCCUGCAAUAUGGCGAAGGCACCGAAAUGUCAAUGUUCCGGGAGAGUUAGCAGCAUCUUGAAAGAUCGAACCGGCACUUGGUGCACGCGAUAUUCGAACGGCGUGGAGCUGACGAGGUGGCCUUGCGAGAAUGCACGGGAAUGGGAAGAGUUUUUCAAGAAAAAUCCCGAUUUUAUUUAAUAUUGUGCGCUAUUUUUUGGAACAAAUAAUUUAUAAUGAUGUAGUCACAAUAAAACUCUAAAAAAAUAAGUUACUGUGUUAAUUUGCAGAAGAUUAUCGCACGAACAACAAAUUAUUUUCUUGACAGAAGCCACAUACACCGUAUUUAUGAGAUAAUCUCACUCGAACCAUGAAUAAUAAAUCUUGUUAUUGCCGCUUAAGCAUUCAACCAAACAAUUAUCUCUGCAAAACAUACAGAGGCCACAAAAACAACUUUACUAUCUUUAGACUUAUACUCUCAUCCCAAUAUUUGAACAGUUCAUUAGCUAGUAGUACAUUUUACCGCCUGUGAUAAAUAUUUUGAAUAUUUGGUGACAAAUCAUGAAGUUGGCAUGCUUAUGCUUUGUCGUUACAAUACUGGCUGCCGUCCAGGCCAAAUUAGUGACCGUAGAAAAAGACUGCACAUGUUGGGAAGACUUCAAGCCUGAAAAAAGCGUAUCUGGCAGAUACUAUUGUCGAGGUGACAAGCAUAAUCGGGUUUUUGGCUGCAACGACGAGAAACCUCCGAUCUGCAAAUGUAUAAUCAAUGGAAAACUGACUAAAAUGGAUUUGGGAGAAACGGAUUGUUUCAGUGGGAACUUGAAAACUAGCAGGCGGUAUUGCGAGAAUUAUGCUGAAAUUGACAAAUAUUUUGAAAAAUAUCCUGAAUUCGCGAUAUUGUACGGUGAUUGAAAAUUUUAACUUAAAUUGCACGUUAUGUUGGAACUUUUGUAGUAACACUGAUUUAUUUACUGAGUUCUAUUGAUGUACCGUAAAAAUAUAAUUGUGAAAUAAAUUGUUCGUUUUACUGUCGCACGUAAUUUCAUUCUAGAGAUAUUAUUGGAUUUAUUGGCUCACAAUGUGUAAUAUAAAUGGCAAUUUUAAAAAACUACAACCCACCAGCGUUACAUGUAUUUGGACAUCUCAUUUCGGAGUAUUGGUGCGAGGUACUAAUCCUAUUAAAAGCUAAAGCAAAUUUUAUAAACAAAGUAUGUAACAUAUUUAUUUUAUGAGACACAUUUGUAUCAACAGAAUUAUUGUUAUGCAAUUAGUGAUAUAAGAUUUCUAUUUCUGGUUUCAAAGCUUCACUUAAAUGGGAAAAACAAGACGGAAAAUUUCGCGUGCCUGAAAGUCACGGUAUUAUUACCAUGUUUAUUAUCAUUUCAAUUAGGUGUGAUGAAUCCUGUUAUUGUUGUCAAGACAGUUGCUCAUGUAAACAUUUACACAGACUUGAAGAUAAUACAAUGUAGACCAUUUAAGUAGAUUUUCUGACUCACCAAUACUUCUAUAUUUUUCCCAAGGUAAAGUUAACAAGUUUACAAAUUUACACCUAGCUCCUCCUUGUUUGUCUCUUCACGAUCUUUAUAAAACAAGUCUCUAAGAGGCUCUCCUCAUUUCAAAGUGAGCACCAUGAAACUGAUCCUGCUGUGCAUCUUUGUAACCAUUUUGGCUGCUACAAGCAGCGAAGAGGUGAAGAACGAAAAAGACUGCAAGUGUUGGGAGGACUUCAAACCGGAAAAGGUUGAAAAUGGCGACACUUAUUACUGCAGAGGGCAGAAAAACCAUCGAAUUUUCGGCUGCAAUGAAGACAGGCCGCCGAUUUGUCAAUGCGAAAAAGAUGGUAAAACAAUAAGUUUGGAUUUGGGCGAAACGGACUGCCUCAGCGUGGACCUCCAAAACGGUCGCUGGUGUAAAAACAGGAAAGAGUUUGAGGAGUAUUUCAAGAAACAUCCGGAACAUGCAAUUUACGAUUAAAAAUUAAUGUUGCUGUAACAGUGUUGCAAUAAAGUUUUAUUAAUAUAAA